GCAUCAGGGCCGGGGGACGGGUAAGGGGGGGGUGAAGAAGGGGCCGGCCUUCAAGCAAGAGCGACGCAAGAUGGCAGCCACCACGGGCUCGGCUGGAACAGUGCUGAGUCAAUUCAUUUACCAUGACGCUGCCCCAGGCACUCCCAGAAGAGAGAUUCUGAGUCAGGCCAGACUGCUGGGUAAAACUUCUCACCAGAAUAACACUCCUACCGGGUCGUAAUAAACGAAGGGGCCCAGUGUGCUGGUGGUAGCCAGCAAUAAGGUGCUGUUGCAGCUCAGCCCUGCUUGCAGUCACUCGGUUGGCUACCUACAAUCUGGGUUAACAGCUGCCCGGUUCUAACUUCUCCAGACCCUGACAGUUAAAAAGAGUAAAAGUCCCUCGCAAUUUCCGACUGUUGGAAGAACUCGAAGAAGGCCAGAAAGGAGUAGGAGAUGGCACAGUUAGCUGGGGUCUAGAAGAUGACGAAGACAUGACACUUACAAGAUGGACAGGGAUGAUAAUUGGGCCUCCAAGAGUCUGCCGUGCACCUGUAUCCUAGUUCCUUGGGCCAUUCAGCAAAGGUCCCUGGCAAGCCUGUCAGCUCCUGGUCUAUUCCAGGCACUACUAGACCCAGAGGCCUUUGCAAAGAAGACGAAGACAAUGAGGAUGGGGAAAAGUGGCCUCUUUCAGACCUUCCUGAUUUGUGAGAGUUCCCAGUCUUCAUAAUGCCAGCCAACCGUUUUUUGAGGACACAUAGUAAACCCUCAAGAAAUGUCUCUUAACUCUCACAAGACCCCAUUGUUAGGUGCAAUUGCAUUCCAUUUCACAGAUGAGGAGACAGACUCAGAGGAGUCAGAUCUCUUGCCCAAAGUCACAUAGCUGGUAACCCCCAAACCAGAUCUGACUCCAGAGCCUGUGCUCUUAACCACUGUGCUGUGGUGUCUCCCUUUUGUUUACAUUUUGAGUUUUCAUCUGUUACCAUUAUAGAAGAUACUAAUCAAGUAGUAACUUGAUGUAGGAGUCAAGAAAUUGAUUUCCAUACUGUGACACACACUUCAGACAAGCAGUAAGGGCCUCUGCCUGAAUGUAGCAAGACCUGUCCUGUGUCUGCUUGUGUUUAAGGAUGAUGACAACAUUCAUUCUUUUGAUUGUGUGCAGGACUCUGCACUAGCACUGUGAGAGCAGAAAGACAUGUAGGGCGUGGCCCGGGCUGGAACAGGGACAAGUGACAUGUUCGUUAAGUGUUAGGACACUAAUGCUCAUUUCAGAUGGUCAUCAACACUCAUGGUGAAUGAUUGGCUUUGCCAUUUAAUGUUGCUUCUUAAGUCAUUUUGUGACCCUAUAGUUUUGUGGAGUUUUAAAAAUAUAUACAUUUGAUCUGUUUUUA
rnacentral:lncRNA from 1 species